AUUGAACGCUGGCGGCAUGCUUUACACAUGCAAGUCGAACGGUAACAGGCCUUCGGGUGCUGACGAGUGGCGAACGGGUGAGUAAUGCAUCGGAACGUACCCAGAGGUGGGGGAUAACGCAGCGAAAGCUGUGCUAAUACUGCAUGUGAUCUGAGGAUGAAGGCGGGGGACCGAGCAGCAAUGUUUGGCCUCGCGCCUUUGGAGCGGCCGAUGUCGGAUUAGCUAGUUGGUGGGGUAAAGGCCUACCAAGGCGACGAUCCGUAGCUGGUCUGAGAGGACGACCAGCCACACUGGGACUGAGACACGGCCCAGACUCCUACGGGAGGCAGCAGUGGGGAAUUUUGGACAAUGGGCGCAAGCCUGAUCCAGCAAUGCCGCGUGCGGGAAGAAGGCCUUCGGGUUGUAAACCGCUUUUGGCAGGAACGAAACGGUGUCCGCUAAUACCGGGCGCUAAUGACGGUACCUGCAGAAUAAGCACCGGCUAACUACGUG
rnacentral:rRNA from 1 species